rnacentral:tRNA from 1 species
GCCCUCGAUGGCUCAGAUGGAUAGAGUGUCUGCCAUGAAAGCAGGAGAUCCCGGAUUCGAGUCCCGGUCGGGGCA